rnacentral:rRNA from 1 species
CCCAGACUCCUACGGGAGGCAGCAGUGAGGAAUAUUGGUCAAUGGGCGAGAGCCUGAACCAGCCAAGUCGCGUGAGGGAAGACGGCCCUACGGGUUGUAAACCUCUUUUGCCGGGGAGCAACGGGCGCCACGUGUGGCGCCACUGAGAGUACCCGGAGAAAAAGCAUCGGCUAACUCCGUGCCAGCAGCCGCGGUAAUACGGAGGAUGCGAGCGUUAUCCGGAUUUAUUGGGUUUAAAGGGUGCGUAGGCGGACUGGAAAGUCAGCGGUAAAAUCGAGAGGCUCAACCUCUUUCCGCCGUUGAAACUGUCGGUCUUGAGUGGGCGAGAAGUAUGCGGAAUGCGUGGUGUAGCGGUGAAAUGCAUAGAUAUCACGCAGAACUCCGAUUGCGAAGGCAGCAUACCGGCGCCCGACUGACGCUGAGGCACGAAAGCGUGGGUAUCGAACAGGAUUAGAUACCCUAGUA